rnacentral:rRNA from 1 species
GAUGAACGCUGGCGGCGUGCCUAACACAUGCAAGUCGAACGAAGCACCUUACCUGAUUCUUCGGAUGAAAGUUUGGUGACUGAGUGGCGGACGGGUGAGUAACGCGUGGGUAACCUGCCCUGUACAGGGGGAUAACAGCUGGAAACGGCUGCUAAUACCGCAUAAGCGCACGAGGAGACAUCUCCUUGUGUGAAAAACUCCGGUGGUACAGGAUGGGCCCGCGUCUGAUUAGCUGGUUGGCAGGGUAACGGCCUACCAAGGCAACGAUCAGUAGCCGGUCUGAGAGGAUGAACGGCCACAUUGGAACUGAGACACGGUCCAAACUCCUACGGGAAGCAGCAGUGGGGAAUAUUGCACAAUGGGGGAAACCCUGAUGCAGCAACGCCGCGUGAGUGAAGAAGUAUUUCGGUAUGUAAAGCUCUAUCAGCAGGGAAGAUAAUGACGGUACCUGACUAAGAAGCUCCGGCUAAAUACGUG